rnacentral:rRNA from 1 species
AACGGGUGAGUAACGCGUGAGGAACCUGCCUCAAAGAGGGGGACAACAGUUGGAAACGACUGCUAAUACCGCAUAAGCCCACAGCUCGGCAUCGAGCAGAGGGAAAAGGAGCAAUCCGCUUUGAGAUGGCCUCGCGUCCGAUUAGCUAGUUGGUGAGGUAAUGGCCCACCAAGGCGACGAUCGGUAGCCGGACUGAGAGGUUGAACGGCCACAUUGGGACUGAGACACGGCCCAGACUCCUACGGGAGGCAGCAUG